GCGGCGGACGGGUGAGUAACGCGUGGGUAAUCUACCUCGUAGUUCGGGAUAACAGGCCGAAAGGCUUGCUAAUACCGGAUGAGUUCAUGCUUAUGCAUAUAGGCAUGAAGAAAGGGCUAGCCCGCUAUGAGAUGAGCCCGCGUCCCAUUAGCUUGUUGGUGGGGUAAUGGCCUACCAAGGCAACGAUGAGUAGCCGGCCUGAGAGGGUGUACGGCCACACUGGGACUGAGACACGGCCCAGACUCCUACGGGGGGCAGCAGUAGGGAAUUUUCGGCAAUGGGCGAAAGCCUGACCGAGCGACGCCGCGUGAGGGACGAAGGCCUUCGGGUUGUAAACCUCUGUCUGGGGGGAUGAGAACGGACGGUACCCCCGGAGGAAGCCCCGGCUAACUACGUGCCAGCAGCCGCGGUAAUACGUAGGGGGCUAGCGUUGUCCGGAAUUACUGGGCGUAAAGGGCGUGUAGGCGGUCGUGCAAGUCGGUUGUGAAAGUCUAGG
rnacentral:rRNA from 1 species